rnacentral:lncRNA from 1 species
GAUGAUGGUCAAGAGCAAAAAGUUUCAGUACCAUACCGCAUCAUGGAAGCAAGCUGAAAUAAAAUGGGACUGAGAUGCAGACAAACAGAACUGAAGAGGGGCCCUGUCUGUGGAAGUCCGUGUCUCAUGCUGUCAUUGGAGUGCUAUGGCGAAAGAGCUUUCGAUAAGCUGCUGCACCUCUGCCCUUUUUGAUAGUCUGUGACAUUACACAGUGAGGUAAAAUGAAAGAAGAUUUUGCCUCUGUGUUCUGCAGAUUCAUCCUGUUUCAACGGACUUUACCUUAUAAGAAUUCAUCAGAACUGCGCAUUCAUCUGGCUUUGAUGUGGAACCGAAUGUCUCGCUCUUGCCUCAUACGACUCGUGGAUCAAGUGGCUCACUGUGUGAGAGGGAUGCCUAAUUCCUGGAUUCUGAUCGUGCUUACGUAUGGCAAAGUUACCUACCUUCUCAAACUUAUCAAGACCCUGCAGGUGACUCCUGAGCCUUCUGUGUGAUGUGUUCUCUGUGGCUGUGGUGUUUUGAAAACAAAACAAGGAAAUUACACAUUCAAAACCUGCAGUAUUAAAGUUGCAAAGCCAAGCACUCAGAAGGUAAGAAAUGCCUGUGAAGGUUUUCAGUUGAAUCUUAUUUUGUUCCUAUAUGAGAGUAUGUAUUAUUAGAUGAUUUUUGAUAACAUCUUCAAAUAUUCUUUCCUUCCUGUUCGUGCACGAGCUACCACUGCAGGCAUGUCUGCGCUGGCUCUCUGCCCUCCAGGCUCUGAUCCUCAUUCUGCAUCCAGCAGAUGAGUGGAGAGCAGAGCAGGCGUGGCCUAACUUAUUGAAAAUCCCACUGCUGAGUACUACCAAUAGGGGCUAAAGACUGAUGUAAACAGUAAUAUGCUAUCUUUUGAAGCUGGAACAUCACAACGGAUUGUUGUACUCAGUGAGCUUGAAAAAUGACUUCAACCUCCUGCUUGCAUAGUUAGGACAUCGGAAAAUAAACUGACUUCAGGUAAGCUUGUCA